rnacentral:rRNA from 1 species
AGAGUUUGAUCCUGGCUCAGGAUGAACGCUAGCUACAGGCUUAACACAUGCAAGUCGAGGGGCAGCAUGGGAUUAGCUUGCUAAUUCUGAUGGCGACCGGCGCACGGGUGCGUAACGCGUAUCCAACCUGCCCUCUACUCCGGAACAGCCCGUCGAAAGGCGGAUUAAUGCCGGAUGGUGUCAGAUGCCCGCAUGGGCGUGUGACUAAAGGCAACGGUAGAGGAUGGGGAUGCGACUGAUUAGCUAGUUGGCGGGGUAACGGCCCACCAAGGCUACGAUCAGUAGGGGUUCUGAGAGGAAGGUCCCCCACAUUGGAACUGAGACACGGUCCAAACUCCUACGGGAGGCAGCAGUGAGGAAUAUUGGUCAAUGGGCGAGAGCCUGAACCAGCCAAGUAGCGUGCGGGAUGACGGCCCUAUGGGUUGUAAACCGCUUUUGAUUGGGAACAAAGAGCGCCACGUGUGGUGCGUUGCGUGUACCUUUCGAAUAAGCAUCGGCUAAUUCCGUGCCAGCAGCCGCGGUAAUACGGAAGAUGCGAGCGUUAUCCGGAUUUAUUGGGUUUAAAGGGAGCGUAGGCGGGCUGUUAAGUCAGCGGUCAAAUGUCAGGGCCCAACCUUGGCAUGCCGUUGAUACUGGCGGCCUUGAGUUCACACAAGGAAGGUGGAAUUCGUCGUGUAGCGGUGAAAUGCUUAGAUAUGACGAAGAACUCCGAUUGCGAAGGCAGCCUUCUGGGGUGUUACUGACGCUGAGGCUCGAAAGUGCGGGAAUCAAACAGGAUUAGAUACCCUGGUAGUCCACACAGUAAACGAUGAAUACUCGCUGUUGGCGAUAUACAGUCAGCGGCCAAGCGAAAGCAUUAAGUAUUCCACCUGGGGAGUACGCCGGCAACGGUGAAACUCAAAGGAAUUGACGGGGGCCC